rnacentral:rRNA from 1 species
AGAGUUUGAUCCUGGCUCAGAUUGAACGCUGGCGGCAUGCCUUACACAUGCAAGUCGAACGGCAGCAUAGGAGCUUGCUCCUGAUGGCGAGUGGCGAACGGGUGAGUAAUAUAUCGGAACGUGCCCUAGAGUGGGGGAUAACUAGUCGAAAGACUAGCUAAUACCGCAUACGAUCUACGGAUGAAAGUGGGGGAUCGCAAGACCUCAUGCUCCUGGAGCGGCCGAUAUCUGAUUAGCUAGUUGGUGGGGUAAAAGCCUACCAAGGCAACGAUCAGUAGCUGGUCUGAGAGGACGACCAGUCACACUGGGACUGAGACACGGCCCAGACUCCUACGGGAGGCAGCAGUGGGGAAUUUUGGACAAUGGGGGCAACCCUGAUCCAGCAAUGCCGCGUGAGUGAAGAAGGCCUUCGGGUUGUAAAGCUCUUUUGUCAGGGAAGAAACGGUAGUAGCGAAUAGCUACUACUAAUGACGGUACCUGAAGAAUAAGCACCGGCUAACUACGUGCCAGCAGCCGCGGUAAU